GGGCAAUGGAAGACCGAGACCAUUUUAAAACGUGGCGAGUUCGAAAAGCCUUAUGAGUAGAGGAAAC
rnacentral:ncRNA from 1 species